rnacentral:rRNA from 1 species
UAGGGAAUCUUCGGCAAUGGACGGAAGUCUGACCGAGCAACGCCGCGUGAGUGAAGAAGGUUUUCGGAUCGUAAAGCUCUGUUGUAAGAGAAGAACGAGUGUGAGAGUGGAAAGUUCACACUGUGACGGUAUCUUACCAGAAAGGGACGGCUAACUACGUGCCAGCAGCCGCGGUAAUACGUAGGUCCCGAGCGUUGUCCGGAUUUAUUGGGCGUAAAGCGAGCGCAGGCGGUUAGAUAAGUCUGAAGUUAAAGGCUGUGGCUUAACCAUAGUACGCUUUGGAAACUGUUUAACUUGAGUGCAAGAGGGGAGAGUGGAAUUCCAUGUGUAGCGGUGAAAUGCGUAGAUAUAUGGAGGAACACCGGUGGCGAAAGCGGCUCUCUGGCUUGUAACUGACGCUGAGGCUCGAAAGCGUGGGGAGCAGACAGGAUUAGAUACCCUGGUAGUCCACGCCGUAAACGAUGAGUGCUAGGUGUUAGACCCUUUCCGGGGUUUAGUGCCGCAGCUAACGCAUUAAGCACUCCGCCUGGGGAGUACGACCGCAAGGUU